GAUGAACGCUGGCGGCGUGCCUAAUACAUGCAAGUCGAGCGAACAGACGAGGAGCUUGCUCCUCUGACGUUAGCGGCGGACGGGUGAGUAACACGUGGAUAACCUACCUAUAAGACUGGGAUAACUUCGGGAAACCGGAGCUAAUACCGGAUAACAUGUUGAACCGCAUGGUUUAACAGUGAAAGACGGUCUUGCUGUCACUUAUAGAUGGAUCCGCGCCGCAUUAGCUAGUUGGUAAGGUAACGGCUUACCAAGGCAACGAUGCGUAGCCGACCUGAGAGGGUGAUCGGCCACACUGGAACUGGAACACGGUCCAGACUCCUACGGGAGGCAGCAGUAGGGAAUCUUUCGCAAUGGGCGAAAGCCUGACGGAGCAACGCCGCGUGAGUGAAAAAGGUCUUCGGAUCGUAAAACUCUGUUAUUAGGGAAAAACAAAUGUGUAAGUAACUAUGCACGUCUUGACGGUACCUAAUCAGAAAGCCACGGCUAACUACGUG
rnacentral:rRNA from 1 species